rnacentral:tRNA from 1 species
GCCCUCGUAGCUCAAUGGAUAGAGCAUUUCCCUUCUAAGGAAAAAAUGCAGGUCCGAUUCCUGCCGGGGGCA